rnacentral:rRNA from 1 species
GGUGUACCGGUUGUCCCGCUAGGGGCACCGCCGGGUAGCUAAGUCGGGAAAGGAUAACCGCUGAAAGCAUCUAAGCGGGAAGCCCACUCCAAGAUGAGGAUUCCAUUCGGUCUUCGGGCCGAUGAAGAGCCCUGGAAGACUACCAGGUUGAUAGGCCGGGUGUGUAAGCGCAGAAAUGCGUUGAGCUAACCGGUACUAACGCUCGAUUACUUGGCCGU